GUAGUUUGAACCAAAACAAGAUCCCCCAGCAGCAGCCCAGCGGUGCAGCCAACAAGCGGAGGCGAGAGGCCGGCCAGAACGAAGGGGGAAAGGCUCCCACUUCAAAGAGGGAGCCUUUCCCCACCGUUCACCGGUACUUCGUUCUGGCCAAAUCCCUGGAGCGACGUGGCGAACAUCAGGGCCACGCCUCCAGGGAUGAGGCUCCAUCUCCGGCUCCCGGGGUGAAGAACGAAAGACCAUCCCGGCGGUUCCCAGCCCCUGACCC